UGCCAGCCGCCGCGGUAAUACGAAGGGACCUAGGGUAGUUCGGAAUUACUGGGCUUAAAGAGUUCGUAGGUGGUUGAAAAAGUUAGUGGUGAAAUCCCAGAGCUUAACUCUGGAACUGCCUUCAAUACUACUAAUCUUGAGUUCGGAAGAGGUGAGUGGAAUUCCUAGUGUAGAGGUGAAAUUCGUAGAUAUUAGGAAGAACAUCAGUGGCGAAGGCGACACACUGGUCCGAUACUGACGCUGAGGAGCGAAAGCUAGGGGAGCAAACAGGAUUAGAUA
rnacentral:rRNA from 1 species